rnacentral:rRNA from 1 species
UACAGAGGAGCCAAGCGUUGUCCGGAUUGACUGGGCGUAAAGCGCACGCAGGCGGUUGCGCGCGUGGGGUGUGAAAUCUGGCCGCUUAACGGCCAGGCGCCAUCCCAUACGGCGCGACUGGAGUGAUGCAGAGGUCGAUGGAAUUGCCGGUGUAGUGGUGAAAUGCGUAGAGAUCAGGAAGAACAUCGGUGGCGAAGGCGCUCUGCUGGACCAUAACUGACACUCAGGGACGAAAGCUAGGGGAGCGAAUGGG